GAGAACUUGAGUGCAUGAGUGUGAAACUGCAUCUUAGGCAAAAGAGAGCAAAACUACCGGGAUGAAAUUCCGAAGGGGUAGUGACACAAAUUUAACGAUGACAGAUUGUUGAACCUUGAUACUCUUCUAUCAAAUAAAAGCCCUUGGAUAAAGAUGGCUAGUA